UACAGAGGUCUCAAGCGUUGUUCGGAUUCAUUGGGCGUAAAGGGUGCGUAGGCGGCGCGGUAAGUCGGGUGUGAAAUCUCGGAGCUUAACUCCGAAACUGCAUUUCGAUACUGCCGUGCUUGAGGACUGGAGAGGAGACUGGAAUUUACGGUGUAGCGGUGAAAUGCGUAGAUAUCGUAAGGAAGACCAGUGGCGAAGGCGGGUCUCUGGACAGUUCCUGACGCUGAGGCACGAAGGUCAGGGGAGCAAACGGG
rnacentral:rRNA from 1 species